UACGUAGGGGGGCAAGCGUUGUCCGGAAUCAUUGGGCGUAAAGCGCGCGUAGGCGGCCCGGUAAGUCCGCUGUAAAAGUCAAAGGCUCAACCUUUGAAUGCCGGUGGAUACUGUCGGGCUAGAGUCCGGAAGAGGCGAGUGGAAUUCCUGGUGUAGCGGUGGAAUGCGCAGAUAUCAGGAGGAACACCAAUAGCGAAGGCAGCUCGCUGGGACGGUACUGACGCUGAGACGCGAAAGCGUGGGGAGCGAACAGG
rnacentral:rRNA from 1 species